UGUCCCCUCCCGGCCGCCGUCCCCCCACGUGACCUGGCCCCGCCCCUCCCCGCCGCCACGUGACGCGAGCCCCGGUGCCGCCAUGAUGGCGGCGGGCGGCGGGGCCGGGCCCGGGCGGGCCCUGGAGGCGCUGCUGGAGAUGGGAUUCGGGGCCCGGCGCGCGGCGAAGGCGCUGGCGCUGACCGGGAACCGCGGCGUGGAGCCGGCCAUGGACUGGUGAGGGGGACCCCGAAAAUCCCCCGGGACCCCCC